CUUGACUGUAAGUUCACAAUUGGCAAGAAACAUGUCUACCAACUCUGUGGUACUUUACUCUCCCAAGCAUUCAGUACAGUGCUCUGUCCAUGCUAAGCACCCAAUAAAAAUAUCAUUGGUGGAUUGAUUGAUUGAUGGUUUUAGUUCUGCAAUGUCCAGCUGAAGGAAUUCAGGUAAGUCACUCAAGCUCUGCCUCUCAGUUUAAUCAUCUGUAAAAUUGGGAUAAGUAUAUCUGACUCAUAGAGGUGUUAUGAGGAUACAAAGAGAUAACUGCCUUGUAAGGGCUUUGGGAAAUAAAAGCAAAAAAAAAAACUAACCUUUUCCUUAUGCCUGCUUCCUCACUUCUGUGCUAAGCAGUGCUAUAAUCCUAAAUAUUUAUUCUCUUUUUCAGGUAAGUCAGGACUGAGCUCAGGCAGGAUGGGGCUGUGGAUGAGCUUUGCAGUUGGGGAACAAAAGCAGCCACAUGCAGUUGUUUCCAGCUGAGUUUUCAAUCGAACAGAAGAGGAAUAAACAGCUGAUUUCCAUCCAUGUAGGCCCAUCUGAGCAGGGAGUUUUGUUUGUAAUAUGGUGUGUUUGUGCUUGCCUCAGAGCCCAAAAGGAAAAGCUCCUGACCCAGCCACAAAAAUAGGCCAAACUCAGUCAAUAUCAAAUGACAAGAUAGGGUCACAGACAACAAGCAG
rnacentral:lncRNA from 1 species